CCUGCAUGAUGAGUCUUUUUUUUCAGUUCUGCUUCUGAAGAAGAAUGAAGACAACCAUAUACCAAAAACAAACUCUGAUAU
rnacentral:snoRNA from 1 species